rnacentral:rRNA from 1 species
UAAGGAAUAUUGGACAAUGGUCGCAAGACUGAUCCAGCCAUGCCGCGUGCAGGAUGACUGCCCUAUGGGUUGUAAACUGCUUUUGUACGGGAAAAAACCCCUCUACGUGUAGAGGGCUGAUUGUACCGUAAGAAUAAGGAUCGGCUAACUCCGUGCCAGCAGCCGCGGUAAUACGGAGGAUCCAAGCGUUAUCCGGAUUUAUUGGGUUUAAAGGGUGCGUAGGCGGAAUUGUAAGUCAGUGGUGAAAGCCCUUCGCUUAACGAAGGAACUGCCAUUGAUACUGCAAAUCUUGAGUACAUUUGACGAGGGCGGAAUGUGUCAUGUAGCGGUGAAAUGCUUAGAUAUGACACAGAACACCGAUUGCGAAGGCAGCUCUCGAAACUGUAACUGACGCUGAGGCACGAAAGCGUGGGUAUCAAACAG